CCCACUCCCUUGCUUCGCAAAGAUCUCGCUUGGUCAUCAGUCCUAUCCUAUCUAUAUAUUGAUCAUACGGCCUUCAAUGUUGCAUGUCUCACUGGUGGGUCACGACAGUAGCACAUUUGACAUUAGUGUCAUCAAUUGACCAUGGUUGCUUGCUCUGGUUUUGCAGAGCAGAGGUAGUUUCUAGCUUGCUGUGGGUGGAUUUUCUGUUUCGAUCUGGUCGUGUUUGUGCCACUCUGGAUUGAGUGAUUUAGGAAAUAAUUUAUAUUUAUUUUGACUUUGAUUUGGAUCCUAAGUGUUAAAAGUUGGGAGAAAUAA
rnacentral:lncRNA from 1 species